rnacentral:lncRNA from 10 species
AAUACUUCCUAGGUGAUUCUGACGCAGGCGCUCCACGGAAACCCUCCGAGAAUUCUGGGGGCCGUGGGGCCGCCCAGCUCAGUCCGGAGCUCCGGAACUCGGGGAAGAGCGUCCGGGAGCCGGGUCUGGGUUCCGCACUCCGUCCGCCCCGAUGGCAGAGAGUGAGAUACGGACGCCCCGGGACGAGGGGCUCAGGACCCGGCUACGGACACCUGCCUCCAUCUCCCUCCAGGAAGUGGGGUAGUAACCAGGACUGGAAUAAGAGCGAUGAAUGGAAGGGCGUUGUGAGCCUGUGAUCGAUGCGAUCAGAGUUCUAUUACGUUUUAAAGAGACAGCACCCGUGACGUUUAAGAUAACACAAGUGUGAAGAGAGGGGAGAGCAGCAAAGGCUGAGCUGCGUGUGCCUGGUCCCUUCCAGACUUUCCAGAUAACUUUGCCCCACGGAGGACAAGGAAAGCCAAAAGAGAGAAGCCAGGAUUGUUAGUCUUGGAAAAUGCCUCCAUAUAGAAACAUGAGCCGGAGAAUAAAUCACUUGCCUCUCUAACCAGUUGGAUUUGGUCCGUGAGUUCCUAGUUUUGUUCACCUGACUUAGUCCCUGACUUUUAAAGUCAAGUGCAUCAACAUGCUGCCAGUACUUUGAUGAACAUCUAUACAGGAUCCAUCUCUACAGCAGUGAAUUCCACCUGGGGUAAAGUAUGCAUGUAGGUUAGGAUGCUACAGUGGGACUCUGUCUGCUUUUUCUGUCUGUUUCUGCUAAGGCCUCCACACAUUAGAUGGUCAGUACUCUUUGUUCUAUGGGAAGGGCUAGAAUACCUAAAC